rnacentral:rRNA from 1 species
GAGUAGGGCGGGACACGUGGUAUCCUGUCUGAAUAUGGGGGGACCAUCCUCCAAGGCUAAAUACUCCUGACUGACCGAUAGUGAACCAGUACCGUGAGGGAAAGGCGAAAAGAACCCCGGCGAGGGGAGUGAAAAAGAACCUGAAACCGUGUACGUACAAGCAGUGGGAGCACCUUCGGGUGUGACUGCGUACCUUUUGUAUAAUGGGUCAGCGACUUAUAUUCUGUAGCAAGGUUAACCGUAUAGGGGAGCCGCAGGGAAACCGAGUCUUAACUGGGCGUUAAGUUGCAGGGUAUAGACCCGAAACCCGGUGAUCUAGCCAUGGGCAGGUUGAAGGUUGGGUAACACUAACUGGAGGACCGAACCGACUAAUGUUGAAAAAUUAGCGGAUGACUUGUGGCUGGGGGUGAAAGGCCAAUCAAACCGGGAGAUAGCUGGUUCUCCCCGAAAGCUAUUUAGGUAGCGCCUCGUGAAUUCAUCUUCGGGGGUAGAGCACUGUUUCGGCUAGGGGGUCAUCCCGACUUACCAACCCGAUGCAAACUACGAAUACCGAAGAAUGUUAUCACGGGAGACACACGGCGGGUGCUAACGUCCGUCGUGAAGAGGGAAACAACCCAGACCGCCAGCUAAGGUCCCAAAGUCAUGGUUAAGUGGGAAACGAUGUGGGAAGGCACAGACAGCCAGGAUGUUGGCUUAGAAGCAGCCAUCAUUUAAAGAAAGCGUAAUAGCUCACUGGUCGAGUCGGCCUGCGCGGAAGAUGUAACGGGGCUAAACCAUGCACCGAAGCUGCGGCAGCGACACUAUGUGUUGUUGGGUAGGGGAGCGUUCUGUAAGCCUGCGAAGGUGUGCUGUGAGGCAUGCUGGAGGUAUCAGAAGUGCGAAUGCUGACAUAAGUAACGAUAAAGCGGGUGAAAAGCCCGCUCGCCGGAAGACCAAGGGUUCCUGUCCAACGUUAAUCGGGGCAGGGUGAGUCGACCCCUAAGGCGAGGCCGAAAGGCGUAGUCGAUGGGAAACAGGUUAAUAUUCCUGUACUUGGUGUUACUGCGAAGGGGGGACGGAGAAGGCUAUGUUAGCCGGGCGACGGUUGUCCCGGUUUAAGCAUGUAGGCUGGUUGUCCAGGCAAAUCCGGAUAAUCAAGGCUGAGGUGUGAUGACGAGGCACUACGGUGCUGAAGUAACAAAUGCCCUGCUUCCAGGAAAAGCCUCUAAGCAUCAGGUAACAUCAAAUCGUACCCCAAACCGACACAGGUGGUCAGGUAGAGAAUACCAAGGCGCUUGAGAGAACUCGGGUGAAGGAACUAGGCAAAAUGGUGCCGUAACUUCGGGAGAAGGCACGCUGGUGUGUAGGUGAAGUCCCUGCGGAUGGAGCUGAGACCAGUCGAAGAUACCAGCUGGCUGCAACUGUUUAUUAAAAACACAGCACUGUGCAAACACGAAAGUGGACGUAUACGGUGUGACGCCUGCCCGGUGCCGGAAGGUUAAUUGAUGGGGUUAUCCGUAAGGAGAAGCUCUUGAUCGAAGCCCCGGUAAACGGCGGCCGUAACUAUAACGGUCCUAAGGUAGCGAAAUUCCUUGUCGGGUAAGUUCCGACCUGCACGAAUGGCGUAAUGAUGGCCAGGCUGUCUCCACCCGAGACUCAGUGAAAUUGAACUCGCUGUGAAGAUGCAGUGUACCCGCGGCAAGACGGAAAGACCCCGUGAACCUUUACUAUAGCUUGACACUGAACAUUGAGCCUUGAUGUGUAGGAUAGGUGGGAGGCUUUGAAGCGUGGACGCCAGUCUGCGUGGAGCCAACCUUGAAAUACCACCCUUUAAUGUUUGAUGUUCUAACGUUGGCCCCUGACCGGGGUUGCGGACAGUGUCUGGUGGGUAGUUUGACUGGGGCGGUCUCCUCCCAAAGCGUAACGGAGGAGCACGAAGGUUAGCUAAUCCUGGUCGGACAUCAGGAGGUUAGUGCAAUGGCAUAAGCUAGCUUGACUGCGAGCGUGACGGCGCGAGCAGGUGCGAAAGCAGGUCAUAGUGAUCCGGUGGUUCUGAAUGGAAGGGCCAUCGCUCAACGGAUAAAAGGUACUCCGGGGAUAACAGGCUGAUACCGCCCAAGAGUUCAUAUCGACGGCGGUGUUUGGCACCUCGAUGUCGGCUCAUCACAUCCUGGGGCUGAAGUAGGUCCCAAGGGUAUGGCUGUUCGCCAUUUAAAGUGGUACGCGAGCUGGGUUUAGAACGUCGUGAGACAGUUCGGUCCCUAUCUGCCGUGGGCGCUGGAGAAUUGAGGGGGGCUGCUCCUAGUACGAGAGGACCGGAGUGGACGCAUCACUGGUGUUCGGGUUGUCAUGCCAAUGGCACUGCCCGGUAGCUAAAUGCGGAAGAGAUAAGUGCUGAAAGCAUCUAAGCACGAAACUUGCCCCGAGAUGAGUUCUCCCUGAGACUUUAAGUCUCCUGAAGGAACGUUAAAGACGAUGACGUUGAUAGGCCGGGUGUGUAAGCGCAGCGAUGCGUUGAGCUAACCGGUACUAAUGAACCGUGAGGCUUAACCUU